GGGGUACUCGAGUGGCGAACGGGUGAGUAACACGUGGGUGAUCUGCCCUGCACUUUGGGAUAAGCCUGGGAAACUGGGUCUAAUACCGAAUAGGACCGCGCUCUUCAUGGGGUGUGGUGGAAAGCUUUUGCGGUGUGGGAUGGGCCCGCGGCCUAUCAGCUUGUUGGUGGRGUAAUGGCCUACCAAGGCGACGACGGGUAGCCGGCCUGAGAGGGUGACCGGCCACACUGGGACUGAGAUACGGCCCAGACUCCUACGGGAGGCAGCAGUGGGGAAUAUUGCACAAUGGGCGCAAGCCUGAUGCAGCGACGCCGCGUGAGGGAUGACGGCCUUCGGGUUGUAAACCUCUUUCAAUAGGGACGAAGCGCAAGUGACGGUACCUAUAGAAGAAGGACCGGCCAACUACGUGCCAGCAGCCGCGGUAAUACGUAGGGUCCGAGCGUUGUCCGGAAUUACUGGGCGUAAAGAGCUCGUAGGUGGUUUGUCGCGUUGUUCGUGAAAACUCACAGCUUAACUGUGGGCGUGCGGGCGAUACGGGCAGACUAGAGUACUGCAGGGGAGACUGGAAUUCCUGGUGUAGCGGUGGAAUGCGCAGAUAUCAGGAGGAACACCGGUGGCGAAGGCGGGUCUCUGGGCAGUAACUGACGCUGAGGAGCGAAAGCGUGGGGAGCGAACAGGAUUAGAUACCCUGGUAGUCCACGCCGUAAACGGUGGGUACUAGGUGUGGGUUUCCUUCCUUGGGAUCCGUGCCGUAGCUAACGCAUUAAGUACCCCGCCUGGGGAGUACGGCCGCAAGGCUAAAACUCAAAGGAAUUGACGGGGGCCCGCACAAGCGGCGGAGCAUGUGGAUUAAUUCGAUGCAACGCGAAGAACCUUACCUGGGUUUGACAUGCACAGGACGCCAGUAGAGAUAUUGGUUCCCUUGUGGCCUGUGUGCAGGUGGUGCAUGGCUGUCGUCAGCUCGUGUCGUGAGAUGUUGGGUUAAGUCCCGCAACGAGCGCAACCCUUGUCUCAUGUUGCCAGCACGUUAUGGUGGGGACUCGUGAGAGACUGCCGGGGUCAACUCGGAGGAAGGUGGGGAUGACGUCAAGUCAUCAUGCCCCUUAUGUCCAGGGCUUCACACAUGCUACAAUGGCCGGUACAAAGGGCUGCGAUGCCGUGAGGUGGAGCGAAUCCUUUUAAAGCCGGUCUCAGUUCGGAUCGGGGUCUGCAACUCGACCCCGUGAAGUCGGAGUCGCUAGUAAUCGCAGAUCAGCAACGCUGCGGUGAAUACGUUCCCGGGCCUNNUACAGUCCNCCCNCCAC
rnacentral:rRNA from 1 species